CACGUAGGGUGCGAGCGUUGUCCGGAAUUAUUGGGCGUAAAGAGCUCGUAGGCGGUGUGUCGCGUCGGCCGUGAAAACCUGCAGCUUAACUGUGGGCGUGCGGUCGAUACGGGCAUCACUGGAGUUCGGCAGGGGAGACUGGAAUUCCUGGUGUAGCGGUGAAAUGUGCAGAUAUCAGGAGGAACACCGGUGGCGAAGGCGGGUCUCUGGGCCGAUACUGACGCUGAGGAGCGAAAGCGUGGGGAGCGAACAGG
rnacentral:rRNA from 1 species